UAAUGGGUGAGCCUGUCCCAGAGGGUGUUGCCUUCAGAAGAGGAUUCCGGAGAAGCUACCGGGUGAGGGGUCAGAUGGGGCCGUUUCGGGCAGUGCCGCCAUCCCAGGAGACCCAGGCUUGGGCUGGUUCAGGAAGAUCCCCUGAAGAAGGGAAUGGCUACCCACUCCAUUGCUCUAUACUGGCAACAAUCAGAAAUUGACGUAAAACACCAUUUAUAGCUGGAAAAAAAUAUUAACCCUAAAAGGUUGAUCCAUACAGUCAAUGCAAUCUCACUCAGCUUCCCAGCCGGCUUUUCACAGACACCGGCUGAUUCUAACACGCGUGUGGCAAGACCCCAGAGCUGGAGCAGUGAAAACAGCUUCGGGGGACGGCAUCGGGGCCUGAAGCUGCCUGAUCGCCCGCUAGUUUCAGGCACUCGGUUGCCCUCCUUCUACCUUCCUUCGUGUACUAUCUGUUGAAAUCUGCGACCAGCUUGUAAAAAUCUUUACUACUUUGAGUUUUGAGCAGAGUGGCAGGGCUGUGUCACGUGUCCAAACCCGUUGUGGAAGCUCUGGGCCUGCCCGACGGGCUCCCACCUGGUCAACAGCCAGGCCUCAGGCCUUGGUCGUUGAGGCUCGCAUGAGGCAGACAGCCAGGGGAGAUGUGACUGCCUGGGCUGCUGUUAGUCCUUUUGCUGUUUGAAUUUUAAAAACAAUGACCUAAACUGUAUAGUGAAAACAUGGAUGUGUGUGU